AGGAUGACUGAAAUAAAGUCAAAGCAAACAUUUCUGUAAUCAUAUGCAUAAUGAUGUUGAGCACCUUCACACAUCCUUAUUUGCUACUGAUGCCCAGUGUGAUUCCACUAUCCAGCCAGUUGUGGUCACAUGACUGAGCUCAUCUAAUAGAAUGUGGACCUACAUCCUUGGUUCACAAGAAGCUACUUCCCACCACCAAUUCCCUCUCUUUACCCAAGCCUGCUAAUCAUAUGUCAAUAUUCAGUGUGUUCUCAGGAUUUGCAAACUAUGUGUUGAAAUGAUAGUUUCCUUCAACCUAGAGCCCUGAAUGAUUUUGUGGCACACCCCAUCCCCCCACCAACUGCUGAUAAAAACUUACACUAGCGAAACUUAAACCGAUGUCCAAAUAAAAACCCUGUAAUUUUGGGUUUAUCUGUAUGGCAGCUGAAUACACCCAUUCUAACUUCAGAGGUAGAGGCCCAGAAAAGAUAUAUAGUCUGUAGACCAUACUUCAACAAAACAUUAAAAAUUAAAAUAUUUAAAAAUUAUGUAUU